UACGGAGGGUGCAAGCGUUAUCCGGAUUUACUGGGCUUAAAGGGUGCGCAGGCGGAUAUGUAAGUCAGUGGUGAAAUCUCUGGGCUUAACCCGGAAAUUGCCAUUGAUACUAUAUAUCUUGAAUGUUGUAGAGGUAAGCGGAAUAUGUCAUGUAGCGGUGAAAUGCUUAGAUAUGACAUAGAACACCUAUUGCGAAGGCAGCUUACUACGCAGAUAUUGACGCUCAUGCACGAAAGCGUGGGGAUCAAACAGG
rnacentral:rRNA from 1 species